rnacentral:lncRNA from 1 species
AUAUGUGUCCAGUGUUAUUGUGUUACACUUGGGCGACACAAAAAAUAUAACAAGGUAACGGAAUAAUUUUUUUAAAUAAUAAUACUUUAAAAAAUUAAAAAGAUUACCUCUCUUUGUGUACCAGCGAGAACUCCCUAAUAACUAACACUCCAAAACUCAAAAAUAAGCCAAAGGUUUCUGGUUUAAUUUUUACUUUAUUUCGUGCGUAAAAGAUUAAGAGGAAACUUUAUUAGAAUUUUGAAAUAUAAAUGGGAAAUAAGUUCUGAGAACGGCCUUGUAAGUGAGGGUGUUAGUGUUCUUGGCUAUUAAAUAGUUGUAAUAUUGAUUUCAAAUUUUGGCACAAGGACAGCAGUUUUGGGGUAAAGGGAUCAAGUGGAUUACAUCGCUUCCUAUGCUCAACUGGUACUUAUUUUACCGACCCAUGCAGAUGAAAAGCAAAAUCGACCUUGGCGGAAUUUGAACUCAGAAAUUGAAGACGAUUUUACUAACGAUUUUCUCCUAACGAUUUUACUAGCUCACCGCCUUAAAUUGUUGCAAAGUUAAGUUUCAUUUCGUUCAUAAUAUAUAUAUAUAUAUAUAUAUAUAUAUAUAUAUAUAUAUAUAUAUAUAUAUAUAUAUAUAUAUAUAUAUAUAUAUAUAUAUAUAUAUAUAUAUAUAUAUAUAUAUAUAUAUAUAUAUAUAUAUAUAUAUAUAUAUAUAUAUAUAUAUAUAUAUAUAUACAUAUAUAUACAUAUACAUGAUUGAUUGAUUGAUUGAUUGAUUGAUUCUAGUUUCAGCUAUGAGCUGUGGCCAUGCUGGGGCACCGCCAUUUGGUGUUGCUACUUGGUUUCACUUCAUGGAGGCUUUCUAGCAACUGCUAUUUGGUGCAUGAGAGAGUCGAUGCAGCUGCCCUCAUCUGCCCCUCCUGCCGUGAAGUUGGUUCAUCUGGGACACCUGACAGGAAGAGAUCCAGCUUCAUUUUAAAGACAUCUGUAUCCACCCCAUGCAGGUCUCUCAGGUUCUUCGGGAGGAUAUUGAAGAGCUGUGGGCCUCGGAAGCCCAGGCUAUCACAGUAUCUUGUCCUACAUCUUGAUGGCAGGUUUGGAGUCCUAGGCACCACGCAGUGGCGCCCAGUUCUGGCAUUUGCGUAACUCUCGAUGCCAAAGUUCAGGACACUUCCCUCCAGGAUCUUCCAGAUGUAUAUUAUGGCAUAUCUUUCCCGCCUACGCUCCAGGGAAUAUAAUUUUAAUCUCUUGAGUCUUUCCCAGUAGCUUACAUUCUGCAUAGAGGCUAUCUUCUUUGUGUAGCUUCGUUGGAUCGCCUCAAGUUCUGUGAUCAACUUGACACUGGAUGGUGACCAUAGCUGAGAGCAAUAGUCAAAGUGGCUUAGGACAAGUGUCUUCCAGAGGACCAUCAUGGUUUCUUGUUCUCUUGUUCUAAAGGUUCUAAGAAUCCAUCCAGCCAGCCGUCUACAUUUCAUUGUCAGUUUAGCAACAUGUACAUGAAAGGUCGCGUCAUCACUCAUGUGAAUACCCAGGUCACGCACUGAUUGUGCCUCUGGGAUUGCAAUCCCUCCGGGUCCAGUGUAUUCAUUGGGUAUUGCAUUCAGUUUUGCAUGCUGAUAGUAUAAAGCUUGAAACUUUCCAGCAUUGAACUGCAUGCUAUUCUUUUCAGCCCACUUGUAUAUUUCGUCUAGCUCACAUUGCAGGUGUUUAGUGUCCUCAGGGUUCUGUAUUGCCUGUGAAACUUUUGUAUCAUCUGCAUAACUUGUGAUCGUGGCUCUCUGCGUGGCUGAGGGCAUGUCUGAGAGGGCCAUUAUGAACAGUAGUGGUCCCAGAACAGUGCCCUGCGGAACACCGCUCACUAUUUGUGUGUUAAUGGAGGUGGCCCCAUUGGCUACUACCACCUGACUUCUAUCCUUCAGAAAGUCAUGAAGCCAUUCUCCCAGUUUUCCAACUAUGUUGAGAUCACGCAGUUUGUGACAUAUCAUUCCAUGAUCGACUUUAUCAAAGGCCUUUGCAAAGUCGAGAUAUAUCACUUCCACAUUUGAGUGGUUGAGCAGCCGUUUCAGCACCCAGUCAUAGUGUUGUAGGAGCUGAGUUAAACAGCUUCUCCCUGGUCGGAAACCAUGUUGGGUGUCGGGCAGCAAGUCAUUCUCUUCAAGGAAGGUGAUCAGCUUCCUUCUGACUAUUCGUUCCAUGACCUUGCUGAUGUGUGAGGUCAGAGAGAUAGGUCUAUAGUUCUUGGCUUCCGCUCUGCUACCUCCUUUAUGAAUGGGGCAUAUUUUACCUUCCUUCAGUUUUCCUGGAAGUUUGCCAGCUGCAAGGAAGCUCUGAAAGAGGAACUGCAGUGGUCUUGCUAGGACUCUCUUACAUGCUUUUAGGAGGAUUGCCGGGAAUCCAUCGGGGCCAGUAGCUGAGUCUGUUUUCAUUUCAUCUAUAGCCUUGGUUACAUCGUCUUCAUUUAUAUCGAUGUAAUCUAUCGUCGCCGCCUCUGAUUUUAUAUCUGCAGUGGUAAAAAAGUCAGUUGGAUUGGUGAUUUGGAGAUGCCCAAGGGGUGGAGUGAAAACACUCUUGAAUUGUUCAUUCAGUAUUUCACUUACCCUCAUUGGUUUUCCUGUAAGUGUGCCAUCCUUUUCGAGGAGUGGCCCUAUUCUACAGUGCACUGUAGCUGUUUCUUUGGCAUACCUGUAGAAAGCUCUGGGGUUAGAUUUUAUGUUUUCUAUAGCCCAGGCUUCUUUGUCUGCUCUUUCUUUUUCAUGGGAGAGUUGCAGACAUUUUUCGAUUUCCAACAGUUUUAUUUUUAGGCGGGACUUUUCACUGCUUUCAAUCUGUUUGUUUAGGCGAUUUGAAAAUUUCGUACGCCGUCUCAUUAAAAUUUUCCUCUCUCUGGGGAUUUUGUUCUUGUGUACAGUGGCCUUUCUCUCUGGGACACAUUUGUAGCAUAUGGCUUGCAUUACAGACAUGAAUUGUUGAAGUUUCACGUCGAUGUCUGGCGACAUAUAUAUAUAUGUGUGGAGGCGCAAUGGCCCAGUGGUUAGGGCAGCGGACUCGCGGUCAUAGGAUCGCGGUUUCGAUUCCCAGACCGGGCGUUGUGAGUGUUUAUUGAGCGAAAACACCUAAAGCUCCAUGAGGCUCCGAUAAAGGGUGGUGGCGAACCCUGCUGUAUUCUUUCAUCACAACUUUCUCUCACUCUUACUUCCUGUUUCUGUUGUACCUGUAUUUGAAAGGGCCGGCCUUGUCACUCUCUGUGUCACGCUGAAUAUCCCCGAGAACUACGUUAAGGGUACACGUGUCUGUGGAGUGCUCAGCCACUUACACGUUAAUUUCACGAGCAGGCUGUUCCGUUGAUUCGGAUCAACCGGAACCCUCAUCGUUGUCACCGACGGAGUGCUUCCCUUAUAUACAUAUAUAUAUAUAUAUAUAUAUAUAUGUAUAUAUAUAUAUAGUGAGAAUUUAGAAAAACACAAAAGACGAAGACGGGUGUGUAAGCAAAAAACAGAUGUAUUAGUUUAACGUUCGGGAAGUGAGAGAGUCUUUUACGUUUCCAGCCUACGUUCUUCGACAGAAAAGAACACAGUAAUAAACAGAAAGAGAAAAUCGAAAAAGGUUCAGUGGCUAGCGAUGUAUGUAUGUAUAUAUGUAUGUGUGCGUGUGUGUAUAUGUAUAUAUGCUAAAACAAAGACUUGAAUUUAUGAUAUUUUUUUUAAUUUUGUACUUAUUGUUUCACUAACAUAGAAAAUAUAUUUUAUGAGAAUAAUUACUGAUUUCAAAUUUUAGCACAAGACCUUCAAGUUCGAGGGAAGGAAGAUAAUUGAAUACACUGACCCCAGUGCUCAACUGGUACUUAUUUUAUUGACCCUGAAAAAUGAAAGGCAAAGUCUAUCUCGGUUAAAUUUGAAAUCAGAACGUAAAAACGGACAAAAUGCUGUAAAUAUUUUCCAUCGUGCUAGCGAUUCUGACACAUCUCACCGCCCUCACAUAGAUAUAUAUAUAGUAACAUGAAUGUAAUGAUUUCAUAAUAUAAUAAAUAUUUAUAAUAAAUAUUUAUACAUACAUUAUUGAGUACCCAUAUGUCAUAUAAAAUAAUUUGCUAUGCAGAUGCAUGGCUUACUUGUUGUUCUCCUCAUCGUAAGAUGGUGGUUUCGAUUCCUAGACCGGAAACGCGUUGUGCUCAUGCGCAAAACACUUCAUUUUACGUUGUUCAAGUUCACUCAGUUGGUAAUAAUGAGUUAACCCGCGACGGACUGGAAUCCUGUCCGGGGAGGAUGUAUAUUCGCCACAGAUCCAGCAAACCGGCCUUACGAGCCUAUGACUUGAGAAGGACCCUUGAUCCAAUUUUGAAUAUACUUAACCAGAAAUUUAACCUCAUACGAACAGUUUUCUUCAUAAAUGGGAAAACAUUUACAAACAUGCAAUAGAUAGCAGGGAUUCGUAGAGGGGCUUUAUGAGGACAAAACUCGGAUUUAAUCGACUUUUCGCACAUAUAUGUGUAAGUGUGCGUACGUGGGCGUGUGUUUGUGUGUGAGUUUGUGUGUGUAUGUGUAACAAAUCAAGACCGGAAUGUUUAUAAAAUAAUUAUUUACACAUUGGCAAAUUUAAAUUUCAAAUCAUACUAUAUAAAUACAUAUACAAUACAGUAUAUGCGUCCGUGCGUGUGUGUGUAUAUAUGUGUGUGUGUGUGUGUGUGUAUGUGUAUGUGUUUGUUUGUGUGUGUGUGUGUGUGCGUGUGUGUGUGUGUGUAUGUGUGCGUGUGUGUGUGUGUGUAUUCCUAUUGGGAGAGGGCGUGAUUUCUAUCGACAAGAGGUGAAAAGUAUGAAAUUGGAAGCCACGUAUUUGAACCUUGUAUGCGUGUUUUGUUUUUUUCGUUUUGUUUUCUUUGUUGCUGUUUUUUUUUUUUUUUAUUAUUAUUAUUAAUAUACGUUAUACAAUUUCUGAACUCUGACCUUGUUCAUCUGUCACAAACAUUCACUCCUAACGCUCAAACUCUUACGCGUUCUCUGACAAUUCUGCAGAAUAGAUUCGUUGACACUGAUGAAAGCAACGCUUCGGUUUCAUAUCAUUUUCUAAUGUAUUCUGGUGUUAAGAGAUCAGGUUAUCAUUGUUUCUUUUCUUCCAGAGCCAAUCAGUGAUGUAUCGUCAUGUAUCAGCAAAAUCAAGAUUAUUUAUUCAUAAUCACGUUCUCUUGACCACAUACACACGCACACACACAGACGCGUAUACACACACACACUCACGUACACACGUACAAACAUAUACAUGCGUGUAAAGAGAAAUAUCUAGCAACAGAUACAUACACACACGCACACACAUACACAGACACAGACACACAGAACUGCGUAGAGAUAGACGCAAACGCGUGUAGACUUAAGCUCAGACACACGCAAACACGCACACACAUACACUCUUUCAUACAUACACAUACACACAUACAAACACAUACAUGUGCAUAUAGGGAAGCCAACGCAAUUGAUAUUUGCACACACACACGUGUGGAAAUAGAAGCGAUUAUGUGUGGACUCAAACACAGACACACGCAUUCAAAUACACACACACGCAUUCAGGCAAGCACAAAUAUAAGCGCACUCACAUGUACAAACAUAUAUAUAUAUAUAUAUAUAUAUAUAUAUAUAUAUAUAUAUAUAUAUAUAUAUAUAUAUAUAUGCAUACAAUAAUCCUUGCCAUAUCGCGGUUCAUCUAUCACGGAUUUUUCUGGCUAAUAUCGCGGAUUUUUCUGGCUAAUAUAUGCAAAUUUAUAUUGUGGACUCCUCAGUACAUCUCGGAUGUUUCUGGUUAAUAUAUGCAAAUUUAUAUUGUGGACUCCUCAGUAUAUCGCGGGUUUCUGCGACCGAUAAUUAUUUAGAUUUUUUUAGAUUUUAAUUAUUUGUGUGGGAGGUUAUGGAGCGUAGUACCCGCGAUAAUCGAGGGAUUACUGUAUAGAUCAGGCUGAGUAAAAAGUAAGCAACGUUUUGAAACAUGAAAUUUAUAACAAUAUAUUUGAACUAUACGGAAAUUAUUUUCAUCAAAUUAAGUACCAUUACAAUUAACACGUUUUUGCCAACGAGUUACAAGUUUGUUUAUUCCGGUAACAUAAAAAUCGGGAGUUCUGGAGCUGAUGAAUUCUCUGAGUGCACUUUUAGCAUCGGUUUGAUUUUUGCACUCCUCUCGCAAGAAAUCCUCCAAGUGCUUGGAAAAGUGAUAGUCGUAGGAGAAAGGUCUGGGGAAUAAGCUGGGUGGGGAAGAACUUUGUAGCCAAUUUCCCUCAAUUUCUGGAGCGUUAUUAGUGAAACGUGGGAUCGAGCAUUGUCAUGAAGAAUUAUUGGCCCUCUUCUGUUGAGCAGUCUGGGACGGAGAAGUAGCAAUUUUUCGUUCAUUUUGGCAAUUUCAUGGCAAUAUGUUUCUGCAGUAAUGGUGUUUCUGGAUUUUAAGAAGUUAUUGUGGAUGAGUCCAUGCAACAGUACACCACCAAGCACUCACCAUAACGUUCUUCUUGAAGAGCUCAAGUUCAGGGAAAGUUUUUGGUGUUUCAUUCUGGUCCAACCACUGCGAAGAAGUUUUUUUUUUUUCGUACAGAAUACACUUUUCAUCGACAGUUACAAUAGGUCUGGUAGCUGAGAAGAAGCGACGAGCAAAUUUCAUAUUUGCGCGUUUUCUUAUUUUCAUUCAAAUUGUGUGGUGCCCAUUUGUCGAGCUUUUUUGAUUUUCCGAUCACAUGCAAAUGGUUGCAGGCAAUUUUCUGGCCAACUUCAAGUUCUCUCACCAGUUCAGUUCUCGAGUGGUUUUGCGUAGAUCUUUCUGAGUGACGAUCAACUAAAGACCGUCAUUAGUUGACCGUCAUUGAUGACAGAUAGGCGUCCACUACGCGCAUGAUCUUCAAGUCUCAGUCUCAGGUCUCCACUGCAAAAUCGUUUAAACCAUUUUCACACUGACCGCUCUCUGGUAAUUUCCUCAUCAAACGUUUCGUCGAUAUCGCGAGCAAUUUCAGUUGCUUUACGUCCUUUAUUGAAGUUGAAUAGCUAAAUUUCUCGAACAUCUCGCUUUGAUAGUUCCAUUUCAGAUUAUUGUAACAACGAGUGCUUUAUUGCCCACAGAGGGACAGUACAAAAAUGGACAAAGACACAAAAUAAAACGAAUGACAAGGAUGGUAUAAAAAUUUAAUGGAGGAAAUGAAUGUCACUCGAACCCCACAAUACAAGUGACUUCAUUGAAACUUUUUCUAAAACAAUUAAUCAUUUAAUCAUUACUCAAUAUCUCCAUGUUGAAAUCUUUUAAAAGCUCAUAAUAGCUUACCGUUGAUUACAUUUCCCUGGUAUCUAUUUCCAUUUGUGUGAUACUGACAUUUGCUCUGAAAUCCUCUCUUAAUCUUUGCGCUUUUUUUCUGUCCAUUAAUGUACAUUUAACAUUCGAGAGCACUCACUAACACUCUUCAAUACCGAAUUUUAUCGACUCGUCCAGACUGCAUAUUCUCCAGAACACCUCAACGAAUGACCCCUUCUAGAAAACCCUGCAACUCUUUUCACAGUGUGGAGGCUGGGAAAUUUGGGGUUCCUGUUUGUUUGUAGCUAUAGCGUCAGUGUCUGGAGUGGUAGGGUGAAGGUUGAUAUCUGCAGGAGGAGGGUGGGUGAAGUUGAGCGCGAUGGGGUCAAGUGAGGGUAGGAUGGGGGUUUACAUCAAUACCUUGAGUUCUCUUUUUCUUCUCUUCUGGCUCACUGCCUUUCACUCUUCUGCUUUCUCUUCCUCCACUUGUGCCUUCUUGUUAGGCUUCUCCGCACUCUCUCCUGUACACUUGUGCGACUUUCCCUCGAGCCUGUAACACUGCUGGUAUCUCUGUGGUCGGUGAAGAACACUUCUUUCUUACGUCGCCUUUCUGGCCACAUUUAUAGCAGCGAGGUUUCCUUCCCUCCACUAUGACUUUGAAAACUACCUCGUUAUGGUGCAGCCUGGAUGAUUAUCUCCAGAGUCUGCCCUUGCUAAUUCUACGGUAGCGUUCUCUUUACUCGGAGGACCUCUAUCUUCUCUUCAACAUCCAAUAGUAUUGCAGCCACCAGCCAGGCGACAUCUACCUGCGGGUGGAUUUCUUCCACCCUUACACUGGAAGCACGUCUUCCAAGGUAAAUAGGUAGAAGUAUUACCCCAUACGUUUUCAGAGAGGUAGCAGAAUGUUUCCUGACCUUCUCCUCGGAUGCGAAUCACACCGCCACAGUAGUGUAAUUUUUUCCUUCUGGUAAGGUAGGUGACAUCCUGCCAAAUGGGUCUCAGAGCUUUCCCUACUUGUAUUUUUGUCAAUAUUUCCAUUUUCUUUGCCCCCAGAUUAUACAUUCUAUGCAUUACUGUCUUUCUUUGUGUGUCCCUUGCAACUUCACUAGGAGGGAACAUUUUUACCUCGUGCACCUUCCUUCUCAGGAUUUCCUUGUACUUUUUAUAAGUCUGCCUCAUUAAAAUAAAUUUCUUCAUCUUUUUCGUCAGCCGCAGGUACAAAAUUCAUUUUUCUAUAUUCUGGUCUACAAUAUCCAGAAGUCGUUCCGUCUGAAGAAUUCAAAUGUUCAUACAUCAUGAAGACACAGGUAAUGUGCUUCCCCCUUCAAACAAGGGGGACAGCACGAGCAAGAAGAGACGGCGGCGUGGAUUUCCACCUCGGCAUCCGAAACUCUGAGUUUUAUCAUGGCUACCGAAUAAUUGUCACAUAUUACAUUUACAGAUAUAUAUAUAUAUAUAUAUAUAUAUUUAAUUUUAUUUGUUAGGGAAUAAAAAUUCCGGCAUAACAGGGGUUCAAAUUAUUCUCAAUGAGGAAAUAUAUAUUUUCAUUUAGAGAUAGUAGGCCCCUUUCUCCCAGCAUAUAAAGGAAUUUUAAUUUAAAUACUUACUACUUUAUAAAGGGUCCUACUAUCUCUAAAUGAAUAUAUAUAUAUAUACUUUUUAAUAAACCUACAAAGACAUCACAAAACUGUUACUCAGAGUUUCUGAGUGUAUAUAUAUAUAUAUGUGUGUGUAUGUGUGUGUAUGUGUGUGUGUGUGUGUGUGUGUGUGUGUGUGUGUGUGUGUGUGUGUGUGUGUGUAUACUCAUGCUUUGAAUUCUAUUUUUUGUAUUUUCAUCACCAAAACUGUACAUAUAUAUAUACGCAAGUAUGUAUGUAUGUAUAUGUGUGUGUGUCUAUACAUUCCUAUAUGUGUAUGUAUGUAGAUGUAUGUGUGGAAUCCAUGAAAUGUUCUACAGAUUAAAGAUGUUACAGUUACCAAUCAAUUCGAACGCAAUUCAUCGAUGCAAUUCAUCGAUUCUAAUCCCAUUUCUACUCUAUUUUCUUCAUUCUCUCUCUUAGUAACAACCUCACAACUUAAGACGUGUUAUUAUUACAUCCAUAUCUUUUUGAAGUUUAUUCGCAAAGAAAUUUAGGAAAAUUGACUGAAGUUAAGAAUCGAAACUGGAAUUUAAAACCUGAUAGUUUAUAAGAUUUAACUAUUACUCUGUUACCUAAGCAACCACAAUUCUUUUUCUUCUUCUGUAUAAUAAAUUAUUAUUAUUAUUAUUAUUAUUAUUAUUAUUAUUAUUGUAAACGAACUGGGUUCGUGGUUAAUAUCUCCUGCAGUGAAUAAUUUUGACAUCAUAGGUGAUGUCAAAGGAAACUAACACUUUGAAGAAAGUUUCUAAUUUAGGUAAAUAAUAAAUAUACAUAAAUACACAUACACACACACACACAUACACACACACACAUACAUACAUAUAGAUAGAUUCAUAGCUAUCCAGGUAUGCAAAGAAAUAUCGAUAUAGAUAUACAUACACAUAUAUACAUUCAUAGGUGCACAAACAUACACUUAUGAAUAUAUAAAUGUAUAUAUAUAUAAAUAUAUAUAUAUAUAUAUAUAUGAGUUUGUGUGUGUGUGUGUGUGUGUGUGUGUGUGUGCGUGCGUGUGUGUAUGUGAGUAUGUAUGUAUAAUAUAUAUGUAAUGUAAGAACUGUUAAAUUUAUAUAAAUAUAAAAUAUAAAUUGUGGGUAAACAUUAUCUGAUAAAGAAUUCAAUAAUUCGGGUAAAGCGGGCAGAUUAAUUUUCUUAUGAAGAGUUCCUUGCGAACACUCACACACUGAUAUAUACAUGUGCAAACACACACACACACACACACACACAUAUAUAUAUAUAUAUAUAUAAUACGGUGUACAUUUAAACACAUAAUGAAUCCACUCAUGGGAUUCAACACUCUAGAAAGAACAGCUAGGUUCUAUAACCACAAAAUUAGGGAUAAAAUUCGACAGGAACGAAAUGAAAAAAUAAAAACAUUUUACCAUCUAAUUUCCUGGAUCAAUUGGUUUCACACUUAUAUUAUAUAUAUAUAUAUAUAUAUAUAUAUAUAUAUGAAAGAAGGCUUGAAAAUGCAGUUUUAAAAGAUGCUUAUUUACUUGACCGGUUUCACUUUUUUAGGAAAAGAUUGUCAAAAGUAACAUGUAAAAGCUUUGUUGUGUUAGGUACUGGUUGUCACAAAAUAUUACAAUACAUAUAUACAUUCUUUGAUAAUAAUAGUAAGAACAUGUUAAAAACAUUUUACAAGGAAAAAUCUUGGGAAAAUAUAAAAAAAAAGUUCAUUAAAAUAUUGAGCACAAAAAGUUGCAAUACUUAUAUACAUUCUUUGAUAAUAAUAAAAUGUUAAAAACAGUUUACAGAAAAAAAAUUUUUGAAAAAUUAUUUAUAAGUUCAUAAAACCUAUUAGAAUUUCUUUUUUAAUAGUUCAUUAUAGAUGGUUCUAGCUGCAACGUCAUGUCUCAUCGGUAGAUAAAUUGUGAUGACAUUUUCGAACAGCUUAUGAUUUGGGUAAUAUCGCAUGAAUGUAUAUAUAUAUAUAUAUAUAUAUAUAUAUAUAUAUAUAUAUAUAUAUAUAUAUACAUAUUUGUAUGUAUGUAUAUAUAUAUAUAUGUGUAUAUAUGUGUAUGUAUGCAUGUAUAUAUAUAUGUGUGUGUAUACCUAUAUGUGGGGCUGGUUAUAUCUUAUUAUAUUAUGAAUUGCAUAUGAGAGUGUGCGUGCUUUGUGUGAGCUGUUACAAAUAUCACUAUUUCUCGAUACAUCCGAAAAAGUCAGCUAUUUCUAUCCAAUGUUAUACGAGGGAUGCUGAAAUGUUCCUGGCUUUAAAGGUAUCGCGAAAGGCGUUGUUAGAGGCCCAAUCGUCCGAGCUGUUUUGCGCGGCAUAAAAAAUAACUGGAGGACCGUUGCAAUAAGUGUGUGCAUUUGAGAAGGGGAAUAUUUUGAAUAAAAUCAUGAUUAAUUGAUCCACCUGUAGUUUCUUUUUUCCCAAAGCCAGAAACUUUUCAGCACCCAGUCGUAUAUACACCACAGAAUCCGAGAAACCAACCUUAUGAUCCUACGUUUCGAGAAAUACUUUGAUACUUAUUUUUCAAUACACACUUAUUUCUGAGCAGUUUUUCACAGUUUCACUUAGAAUCCAUUGGUCGGCCCAUUGCUAUAAUGCUGCACAGUCGGACUGAUCCCGUUGCUUCGAAAUAAACUUCUUAAAGACUCAGUAGUUUAGUAAAAUGAAGAGAAAAUCAAUACACCACGUUUAUUCUAUACAGGGAACGAAGUAGUUGAAGAAAACAAGCUUUUUAUUUACGUAGCUUGGCUCACAUCUGAAUCUGUAAUCUUUCUUCAUUAAGGUUAUUAUUAAUAUAAUAUCACUGAAUUAUUCUUAAGAUAGUGUAACUUGAGUUUAUUAACGCAACUUGGAGUUGGAAUCCUUUCGGUAUAUACAGUAAAGUUUCGCUUCUCCGCACCCAAAGUAAGCUGGGAGCGAUAUUGGCGUCCAUCCAUUCUUUGUCGAUAAAACAAUAUCCAGUCGUAUAUAAUAUUUUCUCUUACAAAUUAAGCUGGGAGCAACAUGACUUCUCUCCAUUCCUUGUCGUAUAUAACAAUCUUCUGACAGAUAUCUUUUCCCAACAGAUAUUGGCAUUUUAACAAAUAAAUAAAUGAAUACUAUUUCUUUGUUACUGAUGGAUGGUGAAUUGACCAUGCCAUAAUAACGCAAUUGGGGUCAUAGAAAGAAUUUUUCAAAGUUCUACUAUCAUAGAUAGCCGUCGGAUGUAUUGUAAUGGAUGUCUUAAAUAUUCUUAGUGGAAGUCUGCUGAGAUGGUUACUUCAAGAUCAACUCAGGAAAUUGAAACUGGCUGCCAUCGGACUCAAACAGAAAAAGUAGCAGACAAUGACAGAGAGUCGAAAAGAAAUGUUUGAAGCGCUUCCUUUAGAUUUGAUGAAUAAACGAGAGAGAAAAAGCGAAAUUCGAACUCCCAGUCAAGCCAAUUAUUAUUCAUUAUUGUAUGAAAUGUGAAGGUUUUGUUGCUUUCUAAAGUUCAUCAACAAACACAAACACGCACACAUACACACACAGAUAGAUGAAUGGAUAGAUAGAUAGACAGAGAGAUAUAUAGACAGACAGAUAGACAGAAAGAUAGAUAGAUAGAUAGAUAGAUAGAUAGAUAGAUAGAUAGAUAGAUAGAUAGAUAGAUAGAUAGAUAGAUAGAUAGAUAGACAGACAGACGGAUGGACGGACGGACGGACGGAUGGAUGGAUGGAUGGGUAGAUAGAUAGAUAGAUAGAUAGAUAGAUAGAUAGAUAGAUAGAUAGAUAGAUAGAUAGAUAGAUAGAUAGAGAAAUAUAUAUAUAUAUAUAUAUAUAUAUAUAUAUAUAGAGAGAGAGAGAGAGAGAGAGAGAGAGAUUAGGCAAAUGAAAUAAAGUAAGAAAACAGAUGUUGAAAGCUCUGCACUUGGUGGGAAGUAUAAUGUGAGCCCUGCAAGAUUUCCCAAGGCAUUUGGAUUGUCGCCUCGUCGGUGAUUGCACAUCAUAAAAUUUUAGGUCCAAUAAGGCUUAAACAGCACCUCACAACCCCUCUCCUACUUAUUGACAUGAUCCAGAGACAAAUCAAGGCAAGAUAUUUAGUGGCAAUAUGGGUCGCAGGCUGAAGGAUGUGGGCACGCCAUUAUCUUAAGCGUAAGCAAAAGACUCCAACAAAUGUUCAAUGCCAUUCCCUGCAUAUCUGGAUUUGUCUCAGGGUGAUCUAUUCCUUGAGAAAAGCUAAGAAGUGCCUCACUUGCAAUCUGCUCCCAGUGCAUCGGACACCAACCAGAAAUUUCUGAGGACCCACGCUAUUCCUAGAUAGUCGUUGAACCUACGUCAGCUUCAUAUGUCUUUUUGACAGGUCUUGUUUUUAGUCCUGCUGGGUUUCUAGCAACGCUCUUCAUCAGACAAACCUAGUUUGGUAACCUGUUUAGUCACUGAAGCCCCAGCAUCCGAGCAACAGGUUAUACUGGAUUCCAUUUCACUAAUAACUCGCCUGAAUGUAUCUUUCUGCUUCUAUUUUUCGUCCAUUGCUGCGUGGCAACAAAUGUUUGUUUGUUUACGUCCCCGUAAAAUAGCGGUUCGGCAUAAGAACUUGAUCGAAUAACUACAAGGUUAAAACAUCUGUUUUCUGACUUCAUUUCUUUUGCCUAAUCUAUCUAUCUAUAUAUGUCUGCAGCAAACACUAAAAAGCAUUUUCCCCCAGUGCGGUCGGUGAAUGCCAAAAAUACCUCACGAAGAAACUUUACUGGGAUCUCCUCGAGGACAAACCAAAGGAGGAGAAAGCAAAAGCUUUCCAGCAGUAAGUACUGGGAUCGAUCUGUUCGACUAAAACCCGUUCAAGCGGUGUCCCAGCAUGUGACUGCGGUCCAAUGACUGAAGCAAGCAUUAAGUUGAAAGAUAAAAAGACAUAGGAUAGCCACUUGAAAUCGAUAGCAUUCAUAAGUGUAAAACUUAAUGGAAAUGCAGAAAGAUAUAGAAUUAAAGUAAGGAUUGAAUAUGAUGGAACAUUUCAAAAUAGGAGUGUAUUGAAAGAAAAAAAGGCCAUGGCGAUAUUUGUGGCUAUCAAUAGUGAUGAAAUGGCGUAAGGAAUUUUUAUGAAGAUUGAUGUGAAACGAUGUCGCUUUAAUAUAUUUCACAUAAAUUCUAUGCGUGUAAAAUAUGAAAGUAAGGUUCAUGUCGAGGGAAAAAGUAAUUACUUUUCAAACUAGUGAAAAUGGUGUUAAGAGUUCUUAUAAAUGUGUGUGUCUGUGUGUCUGUGUUUAAGUAUAAAACUUUUCUGUAUAUUAAGAAAAACUUUAAAGUAUAUAUGCUUAUGUAUUGAGUUCUAUUCCUCAAUAGGUAAGCAUAUAUAUAAGCAAGUACGUAUGUAUGCAUAUACAUGUGUGUGUAUGUGUGGAGAAAGAGAGAGAGAAAGAGAGAGACAGACAGACAGACAGACAGACAGACAGACAGAGAGUUAGAUAGACAGAUCUCAAGAUAGAUAGAUAGAUAGAUAGAUAGAUAGAUAGAUAGAUAGAUAGAUAGACAGACGAAUGGAUGGAUGGAUAUUAAUAUAGAUAGAUCGAUAGUAAUAUAGAUAGAUAUUAAUCUCUUUCUCCUCCUUGCCUCUUUUCCCUUUAUACGUGAGUGUGUGUGUGUGUGUGUGUGUGAAAGAGAGAGAGAGAGCCAGUGUGUUUGUGCGUGUGCAUGUUUGUGUGUAGUAGUAGUAGUAGUAGUAGUAGUAGUAGUAGUAGUAGUGAUAGUAGUAGUAGUAGUAGUAGUAGUAGUAGUAGUAGUAGUAGUAGUAUGUAAAGGUAAGAUGAAAUGAUCAAAGUGUAGGAAGUUAGUAAGCUUCGGUCAGUCCGUAGAAGGUGUAGAAAACAACUUUCAGGAACAAUCGUGGUUUCUUCAUGUAGAAGUUUGUAAAUUUCUCUCAUAUUGAAGUUUAAUAAGCUGAAAAGGUUAUUUUGUGGUUCACGGUUGACAUUAUCGAUCAAAUUUCCUGCGAGGUAACAUGGCGACAUUUGAGACAUUUCAUUAAGCCAUCUUGGACCCGACGAGUAGCUGGCAGAUUACCCUUCGUUUGGGUAUCUUUUGGGUAUCUACUACUUCCGAGAUUCUGUUAACUAUGAAACACAUGUAGCUUGGAUCUUAUCUCCUCAAUUCCCUAAUUUGGGACACCGUGUGUGUGUGUGUGUGUGUGUCUGUACAGGAGUCCUUACAAUUACAGUGUCUUCAUUAAUGCAUUAUAACUGCAAGGCUUCAAUCUUCACGAAGUUACUCAUUUCUGAUCAUAAGCUUGUAAAUCGAGUUUGCGCUUCUUUUGAAAUAUUCGUCGAAUAUUUUUUGAAAUGUGAAAUAAUAGUCUGAAAAAGUGCUUAUUCGUAUGCAUGGGGAUAUGUAUAUCAAUGUCUCUAUUUAUCUCUUUGCGCUUUUAUCCCUCUAUCUAUCGACUUAUACACUUAGCUACCCAUGUAACAUUUUGUAUUUUUUAAUGACUGUCUAAUUCCAUAUCAACCAGACCCUUUAUAUAUUUAAUGCAUAUUUGUUUAGCAACCAGGAAUAGCGUAAGCAACCGCAUAGAUGGCACUAGUACACUAAUGGUAAUACAGUAUUGGGUUUUUGUUUAGAUUUUGUCAGUCCCCUAUGAACACUGAAUUUAAGUAACAAUAGUAAACAUUUCAUCGAUAUUGCAUUUCUUUUGCCAAGGAUUUCCACUGUAUUGCAACUGUAAUAUAUGUUGAUUCGAGCUGUAUGUCUUAACGACAUAAACAUCACAAAAAAGAAGUAAGAUCUUUCUAGAGAAUUUUUUUAAGAACCAGCAGAAUACAGACGCGUUGUCUUCCCCCUACCUAGCCUACGUGAACUUAGCCAAGUUUAACCUGAUUGAACCAGACCAUAUACAAUCAUUGGACAGUUUUUUUCACAAAAAUGAAUUUUUGCUCUUUUUCCCGAAAGAUAUCUGACUUUGCCUGGUGGUGUCAUCUUUGUAUAUAUUUUACGAUACAAGUAUAUUUCCUGUGAUCGUGUCUUGUUCCCAUUACUUUCCGGUGGAAUGAUUCUUCUAGUACCUAUUACAGCCAAGAUAUCGAGCGGAAUUAUUUGCUUGUUUCUCUAGUUAUUUAUUAUAUUUUCUCUCCGAGGUUACAAAGAAUCUAUCUCCUUUUUCUCUCAUCUAAACCAGCGGAAGCAAUGAAGUAUAAAGUGAUUUUACUAAAAUAUUACUGUAAAGUGAAAAGAUCAAAAGUAUACGCUUCUGCUUAUUCAAUAAUACAUGUCGAAAAGUUUGUGAAAAGCGAAGUCGAUAGAACGCAGGAGAAAAACUAUUGUUCAGUUGAUUAAUUUUUCCUUUUCUUUUUCUAAUUUCUGAUUUAAAAUCCCAUUUACGCAACGAUUUUAGACAACUAGACGUAGAAUGUUUUGGCCAUCAGCGAGGCUAGGAUUUCCGAGACACGUGGCUUCACGCCCAUCUUAGAGGACGAGGUGGAGAACGUGUCUCCAAGCCGUCAGGGCAUGAAAGGCGGAGCAGCUGUAUUUUGGAAACGCCCGGAUCUCGCAAUGUGAACUAUCUUCCUAGAAUUAGAGGGCAAGCCGGAGCUACUGGACGUGAGCAGUAAAGAUCAAACCUACCAUCUGUUAGCUGUCUACACCCUGCUACAGGUGUUGCGACCAGAUUUUAUUAGGCGCCUAGAAUCUCAUGUAGGAAACGCUCUGCUCUUUAGUGCUUGUAGGAAAUUGGAGCGGCAUUUGGAUGCCGAUAGAAAAGCGUCGUAAACUUGGUCUGAUUUUUCAACUAUGUAUCAAAUACCGACUGGAUUUCUCGGAUGGGAUUUACAGUCCACAAAUUUGUAAUUUGUACAACCGACGAACACAGAAAUGAAAGGAAAGAAACUCGUUACUGGAACCUAAAUGCUAUUUUCCUUGCGAGCAAAGACACAUGACAGUAGAUUAGUGAAUUAAUUCAGCAGACAUUGAUGGGGCUUUCGUUAAAAUCGGUGAUUCUCCCUUAAAAGAGCGAUUAGAAAGUAGUCGAUAAGUUUUAAUGCCACAGUAGCGAUAAAGAAGAAUAGGUUUAGAAAGAGACGGAAUAAGGAACUAGAAGGCUUUUGAGAAAGGCAUCCCACCAAUGUACUUGCAGUGAGAUUGACAUUGAACUAGUUCUUCAACAUGAAGUAGAGCGGCGAAGUUUUUAGAAUUAAGACACAUUCUCUGAUAAACGAAGGAACGAAAUCUGUUCGAUAGACCCAAGUAGCAGCGGUGAAACAUGGCAACAAAGCUUCUACUGACCAUAAGGAUCGCACAUUACAUAACCCCCAAGCAGAUGUACACGGCCUUUGAGCUGUACUUCGUGUGCUGUUGCAAGUAGCGGACCAGAAGUAAAACGGUUAAUUAAUGCCUUACUUGAGAGCAUGCCGUGAUUCAGUAAUGACCACUGAAAUAAUGGAAGCUAGAGCAAGCUGCACGAAGGACGGGUUUGAAUGGUUUAUCCUACGAGCCUUAAGGUUUCAUGUCACACAUGCUUGGCAAACUCUUGCCAGAUAUCAACCAAAACCAACAAUAAAACAGGACAGUUCUCAGUCCCUAGGUGUGGUAGUACUACUGACAAAAAAAUCCAGAUAAAGGAGAACUAUGUUGUUAAUUUUCGGACUGGAAGUAUUCAAAUCACAGCUGUCGAGAUUUUGGUGAGGGAGAAAAUGCUAAGAAGCUUCAUUCUGAGUUCAAAUUCCACAUAGACCGACUGGUAGUAGUAGUAGUAGUAGUAGUAGCAGUAGUAGUAGUAGUAGUAGUAGUAGUAGUAGUAGUAGUAGUAGUUUUGGCACGAGUUUUUCUGUGCUUGUUUCCAGUACGUCUAAUUCUGGGAACUGCUGUAUUUGGAAUUCAAUUAGAUACUUCGAUAUUUCUUUGACUGUUUUGUUACUGAGAAUCAUCAUCAUCAUCAUUCAUCAUUAUUAUUAUUAUUAUUAUUAUUAUUAUUAUUAUUAUUAUUUUAUGCUUGACUUUUGCUUUACAUUUGUGCAAGUUGGCUCCAAGUCUCACCCAGAGAUCUCAAGAGACAAUAAGCUGGAAGUUCAUGUUGGUGUUAUGCCUAGGAUGCCAUAUAUUCGGUUUUGUACAUAGUUUUGUUCUAGAGAAUGUUUAAGAAACCAUAAGAAAAUUAUGUUUGUUUUAAAACUUAAGAUGACAUAGAAAGUAUUUUGCGUAGGAUAUGGGUAGUUCCCAUGAGCACUAUCUUUUGAAUUUCUGCCAUUUUUGGGUUCCCUGGUAUCUGAGCUUGUUUUAGUCUUCAGGUUCCACAUUUUGCUAAUUUCUAUUUCAAGAUCUUUAUACUUGCUCAUUUUUUGAUAUGUCUUGACAGAUACGUUUAUAUCGAUUGGGACAGUCAUAUCAAUGAGGAAGCAUGAUUUUUGUCUGAAGUCUUUCAAUAUGAUGGCUGGCCUAUUAGCAUCCAUCUUUCUGUCAGUUUGAAUGAUGAAGUUCCAGAGGAGUGAGAUGUGAUCAUUUUCAAGCAAUGUAGGUGGUUUGUGUUCCAAGCAGUUUUUAUCACGGAGCAAGUCCAGGUUUUUGCAAAUUACCCAGUGAAUAUAUUGUGCAGCUCUAUCAUGCCUGUUGAGAUACUCUGUAGGCGCAAGAAGACUGCACAUGGAGACAACAUGAUCAAUGGUUUUAUUUUGUUAACAUACAUGGUAUGUUGUGCUACUGCCUAUCUUUAAUAAGUUGGCCUGGUAGUUCCUUGUAGGCAGGAAUUGAUCUUGGGAUGCAAUGAUAAACCCUUCUGUUUCAGAUUUCAAGCCAAAAGCCACUAGCCAUUGGCUUUAUCAACAUCGGCAUUAUUCCCUCUCUUUGGUUAUUUGCUACUGAGAGAUUUUUCUUGCCAUUUAUCAGUAACUAGCAGUAUCGCCCGGCGUUGCUCAGGUUUAUAAGGGAAAUAACUAUAAAGAAUUUUUAGAGAGUUAUAGCCAAAAAAUAGCAAAAACAUGGAAAAAAAUGAUGGUAAAUUUUUUUUUGAGAUUUAAAAAAGGUGGAGUUGCGUCCCCCAGACAGUUUGUGGUUCGUGUUUCUGAUUCUCGACCCCAUGUCGAAUUUAUCGAUUUUUUUCAGAACUGGGGGAACUUUUCAAAAUUUUCGCUGCGUUAGUUUUGAAUUAUGCCAUUGGGCUAUGUGUGUGUCAAGUUUCAUCAGAAUCGGUUGAAAGCCGUGGUCAGGGUGAGGGUACAAGCAAACAGACACACAGAAACACGCACAGACAAACUGCCGUUUAUAUAGAGAGAGAUAAUAUCUAAAACAGAAGUUUUGGCACAUGUUUUCAUGUGCUUAGCUUUUUCUGCGCUUGUUUCUAAUAUGUAUAAUUCCGAAAUUUGUUGUAUUUGGAAUUCACUUACAUAUUCUUUUGCCUAUUUUGUUACAGAUUAUGAUGCUUUCUUGUUAUUAUUAUUAUUAUUAUUCAGUAGUUUUAUUUUUAUAGCGUGCUUUCACUUCACUACCGAGCGCAGCUAUGUGUGCCUUGGGUAUGUGCUGUGAUUUGUUGUGAUGCUCUGAUGGUUAUUGUAUUGAAAGUGUUCUGAGUAGGAUGUGUGCAGUCCCUAGUAGUGCAAUUUUCUGUAUGAUAUAUGUGUUUGUAAGUCCUGGUGUUUUUGUUAUGUAUUUGUCUGAGUAUUUUUUUAUCAUGCCUAAUGCACCUACUAUGAUGGGAAUUGUUUCUGUUUUUAGAUUCCACAUUCUAGUUACCUCUAUUUCCAGGUCUUUGUAUUUUGAAAGUUUCUCCAUUUCUUUUAGAGACACGUUGUCAUCUGCUGGUAUUGAUACAUCAAUUUAUCAUUAUUAUUAUUAUUAUCACUAUUAUUAUUAUUAUUAUUGUUAUUAUUAUUAUUAUUAUUAUUAUCAUCAUCAUCAUCAUCUUCAUAUUUUGUUACAGAGUAUGAUGCUUUCUUGCUUUUUAUUAUUAUUAUCAUUAUUAUUAUUAUUAUUAUUAAAGCGGCGAACAGACAGAGUCAUUAGCAAUCCGGGCAAAAUGCUUAGCAGUAUUUUGUCCGUCUUCACGUUCUAAGUUCAGACUUUUGACUUUCAUUCUUUCGGGGUCGAUGAAAUAAGUACCAGUUGAACCCUGGGUUUUGAUGUAAUCAACUAACACACUCCCCCCAAAAUUUCAGGCCUUGUACUUGUAACAGAAAUGAUUAUUAUUGCUGUUGCUGUUGUUGUUGUUGUCGUCGUCGUUUUUGUUGUUAUUCCUCAAUGUUUAAUGGUAGGAAAAUAUUAACACACGGAACAUAGAUGCUAUCAUCGCAUUAAUUUCAUUUCUUCUUUCUAUAUUUUCCAGAAUCUCCGAGACACGCAAUUAUACACCAAUGUGUUCUGUACUGUAAAAAACGCCACAAUAACUGGAUAAUUCGAUGCGAUAUCAACACUGAAGGCGCUAUGGGUAUCACGCAGGUGGUAUCCGAUAUUGUUAUAUCAAAGUUAACGGAUGAAACAUCGGCAUUGAAAACUUUUGAGUUAACAACGUAGUCCAUAGUUCGGGAACGAAUAAAAACCAACGACAUACAAACUUGUUGAAGCAAACUUACUCACACGCAUGCGCGUGCGUACACAUACAUUCACGCACACAUACACAAACACACGCAUACGCACAUCCUAAACGCAAAGCUGUAUAUGAUGAUAUUCAUAUAAUUACAAACCAAAUCGUACAUUUCCUAAUCAUAUACAUACAUUUAUAUAUAUAUAUAUAUAUAUAUAUUGAUAUAUAUAUACAUAAAUACAUGCAAUUAUGUGUCAUAGUUUUAGUCGUGAAGUAUUACAGAAGAUAUCGUGAUCGUUCGAAUAUGAUAAUAUAAUAAAACAUUAUUAUAUCGUAUAAAUGAGAAAAUUGGACAACAUAAAAUCUGAAAGAAAGUAAAAAACACAUUUAACCUUAUAAAACGAUAGAACACUGCUUGGGUAAUAAUAAUAGUAAUAAUAAUACUAAUAAUAAUAAGAAGAAGAGCAACAACAACAAUAACAAUAAUAAAAGUGAUGCUAAUAAUAAUCAUAGUAAUAUUAUUUAAGAAUAAAACGUAAUAAUAAUUUGUUUUUUUUUUUCUAAACAUUCGUUGCAAUAAAAAUAAUUUCAUGAAUUUUAAAUAACGAGUUCUAUAAUAAUAGCAAUACUACUACUACUACUACUACUACUACUACUAAUAAUAAUAAUAAUAAUAAUAAUAAUAAUAAUAAUAAUAAUAAUAAUAAUAAUAAUAAUAAUAACAAUAAUCAUUGAAAUAUAAUGUAAUAUCCGGUAACAAUAAUAAUAUUAACAACUUUAAUAAUCAAAUUAAAAUGGAGGAUGAGAAAAAUAUAAAAUUCAAGUAAUAGGUUUUUGAAACGAUUUACGUUUUCAAGAAAUUUACUGAAGUAUCAGAAGGAAAACGGAUUUAGUAGAAUAUAAAAUGGAAGCGUAAUAAAUAGUAUUUUAUUAGUUGUGUAUUUUCUAAAUCUAUAUGAACAUUUUCAGAAAUACUCAUAUUACAUAAGGUAAAUAGAGAGAGAAGAAAAAAAAACUCUGUUGUUAUCGUUUGUGUUUUUGUCUUCAUCUUUGUCGCAGUUUUACAAUUGCUAUCUUCUUUCGUUUUAUUAAGUCUGCGUUGUGAUACCGUUUUUUUAAGGUUAGAUAAUAACAAACAAAGAAAAAAACAAAAAAACAAAACUUCACUUUCACGAUUUAUGUGAAAACAUUUUCUAAUAAUAAUAAUAAUAAUAAUAAUAAUAAUAAUAAUAAUAAUAAUAAUUUAACGACGAAAAGACACAAAUUAUACAUAUGGGCUGUGCUAUUUUUUCUUUCUAUUUUUUGGUCGGGAAAAAUAUCGUAAUCACAAACUGUAAUUUUUUUAAAGGAAAACAAACUAGUAGAAGGGAAAGUAUGUGAAUAUUGAGAAUACUGUGCACACAGAGAGAUUUGCAAUCUUCAAAUCUUAUUUUAUUUUCUUUAGAAUAUUAUAUAAUUUUUCUCUUCGUAUUUCGGCAUUUCUUUUCCAAAGUCAUAGCGUAUAAAACAGGUGCAAAUUAAUUUUCACUUGUCUUUAUAUAUAUAUAUAUAUAUAUAUAUCUUCGUUUUUGUUGUUGUGUUCUAAUUAUUUUCCUAUUAUCAUCAACAUCAUCAUUCUCAACAACAACAUCGUUAUUACCUUUAUCGUUUGCCUUUUGAAUCCUACAUCAGUAGUUGGCAAGAAUUAAGUACAUUUUUGGAGAACGUGCUUAAAAGGGCUGAAGGUUAACAAGGAUUGUUCACGGUUAGUGAGUUUGCUUAAUGUUGAUUAAGAUAUCAAUAAAAACAAAUCGAUAUAAUCGAUUAUUCUGCACUCCAGCAACUUUUAUGGUCAUCAGUUUACGUCAAAAACCUUUAUUAUAAUUACUAUUAUCAUCUUCAUUUGAAGCAUUCCACAAGUUCUUCCGUGCGAUUAUAAACUCACUGGAACGAACCUUGAACUUCGUAACCCAGUUUUCUAUCCUAGAUACAAGCGAUAUACUUAAAAUUCGAAAUGGUUUCCGGAAAGUUAUGAAUUCCUUUGCAUAUUAAUUUGUUUAUGUUAAUUAUUAUCACAAGACAGAAACGUUAUAGCUAUGUAAACAAUUACUCCUUAAGUUCAUUAUAAGCGUCACAUUAUUACAUCGUAUAGUCCCAUGAUACAGAGGUUGUGUCUUAACUGAAAUCAUCACUUCUCUGGUGUAAACAGCAUCGCUUAGUUUUUCUUUGCCCAUAUAUCACUGAGGCUCAUAAGAAAACAUGAGCUAUUCCACAUUCUAGUUUUGUGUUAUUAAAAUAUACAAAUAUAACAGAAUCAACAUUUAUUUACAAAUAUAAAGUACCAUUUCCAACGAUACUUAAGCACGUUAUUAUAAUCAUUAUACUUGAAUUUGUUGUUGUUAUUGUGGUGGAGCUUGUGUUGUUCUAGUAGUAGUAGUAGUAGUAGUAGUAGUAGUAGUAGUAGUAGUAGCAGCAGCAGCUUCAAUUCGGGGCUCGAGUCUCGGAAAUUUAGCUUCACUUAUUAACGCUGCUUGUUGAAAAAGAUAUAUAUAUAUAUAUACAGUGAAUGUCACUAAAUUCAUCUAUUAUCUUAUUUCAUUGCCUGUCUGUCUAACAGUCUCACAGCCAAUCUGUCUUUUUAUCUAUAGCAAUUCUUUCCAGUUUUUCUUAGAUUCAUUUUUAAACAAUACCGGUGGCUUUGGCUGGAGAAGUUGCGAUUGUCUCAUCAUUAAGAUCAGAAACAAACUUUAAAAACUAAAAAUAUCAUUAGCACAGUUUGCUAAACAUUUCUUAAAAGUCUCGCGAAGAAACCACUUCGUUUGUGAUGUGAUUUUCUUAUAUGACCAGAACAUCAAUCUAGUCACAUAAUAAAAAAAAAAUUAUUCUUUAUUGAUACGUUUAUAUUUUUUCUAAAAAAUCAACUAGCUCAUAAAAUAGAAAAAAAUCAACCAAUAGACAUCCAUUUGGUUAUUUAUUUAGUUAUUUACACAUUUAUUUAUUUUUCUAUUUCAUUGCAAAGAUUUCAAAGAAACAAAAGUAAUACGAAAAAUCUGAAAUGAAAUCAAAAUAGAUUGACCGAAUUCUGUUUUGCUUUUUUCGUAGUUUUCAAUAAGCACAGAAGCAGUUUUACUACUACUACUACUACUACUACUACUACUACUACUACUACUAAUAAUAAUAAUAAUAAUAAUAAUAAUAAUAAUAAUAAUAAUAAUAAUAAUAAUAAUAAUACUAAUACUAAUACUACUACUACAUUGUUCGUCAAAUUAUCUUCAUAUAGAACAUUUGCAGUUGCGUAGACAAGAAUACGAGAAUACGUAUUAUUUUAUGAAGUUCAUUAUCAAACUACAUACUUAGGAUUCAUUUAGUAAUGUGUGCCUUGUUUCUUUAAGGAUUUUCUUUGAGGAUUCUUCAGUGUUGGUUAUUCAUGGUUUAAGAUUUUGAUGGUGUUUUAGUCUUAAUUUAUUUUACUGUAUUACUUUUUGCUGUGGAAAAUAGUUAUUGUAGAUUGAAUGAAAACACACUCAAGAUUUAGGUCUAUUCGGAUUUCUAAGAAAAAUAAAAUCAAGAAAAAACUAUGAUUUCGUAAAAGCUGGUUACAGAACAAUUCUUUUUUUUUAUAUACUAUUGCAACUACUACAGCUACUGCAAUAAAACUUUAAUAAUAA